GACGAACGCUGGCGGCGUGCUUAACACAUGCAAGUCGAACGGAAAGGCCCUGCUUUUGUGGGGUGCUCGAGUGGCGAACGGGUGAGUAACACGUGAGUAACCUGCCCUUGACUUUGGGAUAACUUCAGGAAACUGGGGCUAAUACCGGAUAGGAGCUCCUGCUGCAUGGUGGGGGUUGGAAAGUUUCGGUGGUUGGGGAUGGACUCGCGGCUUAUCAGCUUGUUGGUGGGGUAGUGGCUUACCAAGGCUUUGACGGGUAGCCGGCCUGAGAGGGUGACCGGCCACAUUGGGACUGAGAUACGGCCCAGACUCCUACGGGAGGCAGCAGUGGGGAAUAUUGCACAAUGGGCGGGAGCCUGAUGCAGCAACGCCGCGUGCGGGAUGACGGCCUUCGGGUUGUAAACCGCUUUCGCCUGUGACGAAGCGUGAGUGACGGUAAUGGGUAAAGAAGCACCGGCUAACUACGUG
rnacentral:rRNA from 1 species